rnacentral:rRNA from 1 species
GACGAACGCUGGCGGCGUGCUUAACACAUGCAAGUCGCACGAGUGGCGAACGGGUGAGUAACACGUUGGUGACCUGCCCUGCACUUCGGGAUAAGCCAGGGGAACUGGGUCUCAUACCGGAUAGUGUGGGAUGGGCCCCAGGCCUAUCAGCUUGUUGGUGGGGGACUGGCUACCAAGGCGCUACGGGUAGCCGGCCUGCGGGGGUGGGUGGCCAUAUUGGGAGUGAGACACGGCCAAGACUCUUUCGGGAGGCAGCAGGGGGGAAGGUUGCACAAUGGGAGCAAGCCUGAUGCAGCCCUGCCGCGUGUAUGAUGAAGGCCUUAAGGUUGUAAAGUCCUUUCAGCGGGGACGCGUUACCCGCAGAAGAAGCACCGGCUAACUCCGUGCCAGCAGCCGAGGGAAUAC